CCUGCCCAAAAGUGGGGGAUAACAUUUGGAAACAAGUGCUAAUACCGCAUAACAACUACUUUCACAUGAUCGUAGCUUGAAAGAUGGCUCUGCUAUCGCUUUUGGAUGGACCCGCGGCGUAUUAGCUAGUUGGUGAGGUAAUAGCUCACCAAGGCAAUGAUACGUAGCCGACCUGAGAGGGUGAUCGGCCACACUGGGACUGAGACACGGCCCAGACUCCUACGGGAGGCAGCAGUAGGGAAUCUUCCACAAUGGGUGAAAACCUGAUGGAGCAAUGCCGCGUGAAUGAAGAAGGUCUUCGGAUCGUAAAGUUCUGUUAUUAGAGAAGAACAAGUCAAGGAGUAACUGUCUUGACUUUGACGGUACCUAACCAGAAAGUCACGGCUAACUACGUGCCAGCAGCCGCGGUAAUACGUAGGUGACAAGCGUUGUCCGGAAUUAUUGGGCGUAAAGGGAGCGCAGGCGGUUGGAAUAGUCUGAUGUGAAAGCCCACGGCUUAACCGUGGAAGGUCAUUGGAAACUGUCCAACUUGAAUACAGAAGAGGUACGUGGAAUUCCAAGUGUAGCGGUGAAAUGCGUAAAUUUUUGGAGGAACCCCAGUGGCGAAUGCGACUUACUG
rnacentral:rRNA from 1 species